rnacentral:rRNA from 1 species
GCAUAUCAAUAAGCGGAGGAAAAGAAACCAACAGGGAUUGCCUCAGUAACGGCGAGUGAAGCGGCAAGAGCUCAACUUUGGAAUCGCUCCGGCGAGUUGUAGUCUGGAGGUGGCCACCACGAGGUGUUCUAGCAGCAGGCAAGUCCUUUGGAACAAGGCGCCAGCGAGGGUGACAGCCCCGUACCUGCUUUUGCUAGUGCUUCCUGUGGCCCACCGACGAGUCGAGUUGUUUGGGAAUGCAGCUCUAAGUGGGUGGUAAAUUCCAUCUAAGGCUAAAUAUUGGCGAGAGACCGAUAGCGAACAAGUACAGUGAUGGAAAGAUGAAAAGCACUUUGAAAAGAGAGUGAAACAGUACGUGAAAUUGUUGAAAGGGAAGGGCUUGCACCCAGACACGGUUUCGGCCGGGCCAGCAUCAAGUAGAACGGGGUUAAAAGACUUGGGGAAUGUAGCUACUUCGGUAGUGUUAUAGCCCUUGGUGAUGACCCCUGUUUUGCUUGAGGACAGCGGUCUCUAGGAUGCUGGCGCAAUGGUUGCAAGCCACCCGUCUUGAAACAC